UACGAAGGGAGCUAGCGUUGUUCGGAAUCACUGGGCGUAAAGCGCACGUAGGCGGAUUUGCCAGUCAGGGGUGAAAUCCCGGGGCUCAACCUCGGAACUGCCUUUGAUACAGCAAGUCUUGAGUUCGAGAGAGGUGGGUGGAAUUCCUAGUGUAGAGGUGAAAUUCGUAGAUAUUAGGAAGAACACCGGUGGCGAAGGCCGCCCACUGGCUCGACACUGACGGUUAAGUGCGAAAGCGGGGGGAGCAAACAGG
rnacentral:rRNA from 1 species